UACGUAGGGUGCGAGCGUUAAUCGGAAUUACUGGGCGCAAAGCGCGCGCAGGCGGCUCUUUAAGUCUGACGGUGAAAUGCCGGGGCUCAACCCCGUGCCCGCCGCGGAUACUGGAGGGCUGGAGACACGUAGAGGCAAGCGGAAUUCCGGGUGUAGCGGUGGAAUGCGUAGAGAUCCGGAAGAACACCGGAGGCGAAGGCGGCUUGCUGGGCGUAGUCUGACGCUGAGGCGCGAAAGCGUGGGGAGCGAACAGG
rnacentral:rRNA from 1 species